CUCACGGGGGUGGUGGUGGGCCUCGGUCGGCGCCCUCCGGGGCCGAUCCCCGACAGGCCGCAGCUGCCGCCGGCGUCUUUCCCACACCAAAGCGGAGCCGCGACGGGAGCGGCGCGGAGUGAGACCCUUUCCUCCGCGUCCGACUCCCGGCUCCGUGGGUACCCGGCCAGCGCGACGGUCCGGCUUUUCUCUCCUCUCCGGGGGAGGGUUAGCCGCCUGUUCGCAGGGGGGCGCAGGCCCGGGACUUGCCAUACGACGCCGUCGCGCGAAUCUGUUGUUGGCCUCACCGGCUCUGCUUGGGCUCUCGGUUGGCGGUCCGCGCGUCAGGCUGCUGCCGGGGACUUUAGGGCGGGCUCGUCCCGUCCGGGUCCUCGUCUCAGCCCCGCGCGGUUGUCUGCCUUCCGAUCCUGCUCUGUCCGGAGUGGCCUAGCGCGCGUGCUGUCGGCAAGUACCAUGAGCAGACAUGUUGGGACCCGAAAGAUGGUGAACUAUGCCUGGCCAGGAUGAAGCCAGAGGAAACUCUGGUGGAGGUCCGUAGCAAUUCUGACGUGCAAAUCGAUUGUCAGAGCUGGGUAUAGGGGCGAAAGACUAAUCGAACCAUCUAGUA
rnacentral:rRNA from 4 species